UACAGAGGUCUCGAGCGUUAGGCGGAAUCACUGGGCUUAAAGCGUGUGUAGGUGGAUGCCUAAGUACCUUGUGAAAUCCCACAGCUUAACUGUGGAACUGCUUGGUAUACUGGUCGUCUUGAGCCUUCUAGGGGCGAGUGGAACAAAUGGUGGAGCGGUGAAAUGCGUAGAUAUCAUUUGGAACGCCAAUGGUGAAAAACAACUCGCUGGGGGAAGUGCUGACGCUGAGACACGAAAGCCAGGGGAGCGAACGGG
rnacentral:rRNA from 1 species